GAUGAACGCUAGCGGCAGGCCUAACACAUGCAAGUCGAGGGGUAGAAGGAGCUUGCUCCUUUGAGACCGGCGCACGGGUGCGUAACGCGUAUGCAAUCUACCUUGUACAGGGGAAUAGCCCAGAGAAAUUUGGAUUAAUGCCCCAUAGUAUAUAACCUUCGCAUGUUGGUUAUAUUAAAGUUCCAACGGUACAAGAUGAGCAUGCGUCCCAUUAGUUAGUUGGUAAGGUAACGGCUUACCAAGACGAUGAUGGGUAGGGGUCCUGAGAGGGAGGUCCCCCACACUGGUACUGAGACACGGACCAGACUCCUACGGGAGGCAGCAGUGAGGAAUAUUGGUCAAUGGACGCAAGACUGAACCAGCCAUGCCGCGUGCAGGAAGACGGGCCUAUGGAUUGUAAACUGCUUUUAUACAGGAAGAAACCCUCCCACGUGUGGGAGCUUGACGGUACUGUAGGAAUAAGGAUCGGCUAACUCCGUG
rnacentral:rRNA from 1 species